GACGAACGCUGGCGGCGCGCUUAACACAUGCAAGUCGAACGGAAAGGCCUGCUUUCCCUUGUGGAUUGCGGGUACUCGAGUGGCGAACGGGUGAGUAACACGUGAGUGAUCUGCCCCCAACUUGGCUAUAAGCCUGGGAAACUGGGUCUAAUUCCCGAUAGGACUGCAGGGUGGUGCCUGUGGUGGAAAACGAUUUUCUAGUGGUUGGGGAUGAGCUCGCGGCCUAUCAGCUUGUUGGUGGGGUAAUGGCCUACCAAGGCGGCGACGGGUAGCCGGCCUGGGAGGGUGGACGGCCACAUUGGGACUGAGAUACGGCCCAGACUCCUACGGGAGGCAGCAGUGGGGAAUAUUGCACGAUGGGCGGAAGCCUGAGGCAGCGACGCCGCGUGGGGGAUGACGGCCUUCGGGUUGUAAACUCCUUUCGACCGCGAGGAAGCCACCUGGUUGGAAGGGUGGUGACGGUAGUGGUAGAAGAAGCACCGGCUAACUACGUG
rnacentral:rRNA from 1 species